ACGAACGCUGGCGGCGUGGAUAAGACAUGCAAGUCGGACGGGAUUACUUUGGUAGCAAUACCGGAAGUAAUUCAGUGGCGAACGGGUGCGUAACACGUGGGCAAUCUACCGAGAAGUGGGGAUAGCUCGCCGAAAGGCGAAUUAAUACCGCAUGUGAUCAAGAGGCGACAUCGCUUCGAAAUCAAAGGUGGCGCAAGCUACCGCUUUUUGAGGAGCCCGCGGCCUAUCAGCUUGUUGGUGAGGUAACGGCUCACCAGGCAUUGACGGGUAGCUGGUCUGAGAGGACGACCAGCCCACACUGGAACUGAGACACGGUCCAGACACCUACGGGUGGCAGCAGUCGAGAAUUUUUCUCAAUGGGGGAAACCCUGAAGGAGCGACGCCGCGUGGAGGAUGAAGGUCUUCGGGUUGUAAACUCCUGUCAUUUGGGAACAAGUGCCGGUACCUAAACUGCUACCGGCUUGAUAGUACCAGAAGAGGAAGAGACGGCUAACUCUGUGCCAGCAGCCGCGGUAAUACAGAGGUCUCAAGCGUUGUUCGGAUUCAUUGGGCGUAAAGGGUGCGUAGGCGGCGUGGCAAGUCGGGUGUGAAAUUUCGAGGCUUAACUUCGAAACUGCAUUCGAUACUUGCCGUGCUUGAGGACUGGAGAGGAGACUGGAAUUUACGGUGUAGCGGUGAAAUGCGUAGAUAUCGUAAGGAAGACCAGUGGCGAAGGCGGGUCUCUGGGACAGUUCCUGACGCUGAGGCACGAAGGCCAGGGGAGCAAACGGGAUUAGAUACCCCCGGUAGUCCUGGCAAUAAACGGUGCACGUUUGGUGUGGGAGGAUUCGACCCCUUCUGCGCCGGAGCUAACGCGUUAAACGUGCCGCCUGGGGAGUACGGUCGCAAGAUUAAAACUCAAAGAAAUUGACGGGGGCCCGCACAAGCGGUGGAGUAUGUGGCUUAAUUCGAUGCAACGCGAAGAACCUUACCUGGCCUUGACAUGCAUCUCUAAGCUGGUGAAAGCCAGUGAGUCCCGAAAGGGACAAUUUGCACAGGUGCUGCAUGGCUGUCGUCAGCUCGUGUCGUGAGAUGUUGGGUUAAGUCCCGCAACGAGGCGCAAACCCUGUGAACUGUUGCCCACCGAGCCGUGAGGCUCGAGCACUCUGUUCAGACUGCCCUGUGAAACGGGGAGGAAGGUGGGGACGACGUCAAGUCAGUAUGGCCCUUACGGCCAGGGCUGCACACGUACUACAAUGCCCAGUACAGAACGAUCCAAGACCGCGAGGUGGAGGAAAUCUAUCAAAACUGGGCCCAGUUCAGAUUGAAGUCUGCAACUCGACUUCAUGAAGCCGGAAUCGCUAGUAAUGGCGCAUCAGCUACGGCGCCGUGAAUACGUUCCCGGGCCUUGUACACAACCGCCCGUCACAUCAUGGGAGUCGCUGUAGCCGAAGUACAUGUGCCACCCGCAAGGGAAGCAGUGUCCUACGCUAUGAGCGGUAACUGGGAUG
rnacentral:rRNA from 1 species